CCCUUAGAUGUUCUGGGCCGCACGCGCGCUACACUGAUGCAUUCAACAAGCCUAGCCUUGACCGAGAGGUCCGGGUAAUCUUUGAAACUGCAUCGUGAUGGGGCUAGAUUAUUGCAAUUAUUAAUCUUCAACGAGGAAUGCCUAGUAAGCGUGAUUCAUCAAAUCGCGUUGAUUACGUCCCUGCCCUUUGUACACACCGCCCGUCGCUCCUACCGAUUGAAUGUUCCGAUGAAUACCAUGGACUGAGAGUAUGAAUGGGUUCGCCUAUUUCUGCUUCUCGGGAAGUGGAGUAAAUCUUAACAUUUAGAGGAAGGAGAAGUCGUAACA
rnacentral:rRNA from 1 species